rnacentral:lncRNA from 1 species
CGGAAGAAGCUCUAAAAAGCGCCAUCAUAUAUACGUUUAUAUAGAUUGAUAUAUAGUUAGAUAUAUGAUAGCAAGAGAGAGAGAGAGAGAGAAGCAGAGUGGAGCGGUUCUAAUUUCGAGCUGAUUGAUCCCUCUCUCGUUAAUUUGCCUUCUUCUUCUUCUUUCUUCUUUUGAUCGCCUUCGGUCGGUUGGUUGGCUAAACGGAGAUAGGAGUCGAAGCUCGCAACGCAACCGCAGAAAGAAGAAGCAGCGGCGGCGGCUACCGCGCAGAGAUCGCGUGAUGAAACGAUCCCUGGCU